AUGUAACUCAGAAGAUGAAUUUUGGGUGGAGAGUCUGAAAGAUAAGAGGGCUUCUCAAAUAGGCAUGAUAAGCCCUGAAAAAAAUGGGCAGCAGUUUUGAUCACAGUCAAGAGAUUUUUCUAACUCAAAAGCCCCUCUUUUUUCCCCUCUAAAAUCAGGGCUUAUUCCCAAUAGUCACAGUAGUCACUGCAGUUAUUUGUCUUUAGCAACUCCCAAAUAUGUCAGGGGUGGAAGUGGAGAAGGAAUUCACCAUUUCAGUGAUUCUGCAGAAGUUGGGCAGAGAUCUUAAGUGGAGAAACAGUUUGAUGGUACAGCCAUCUUCCUCAGAGCAACUUCAGAUUCUCCCAGGGAAUCAGAAGCCAUAUGGGCACCCAAGAGGAAGCAGUCAGGCAGAAGAUUUCUUUAUUUCUUCAGCCGUAGCCACCUCCUUGCUUUUCAGAAAGAGAAGAUUUGGAUGAACAGCCUCUGGGUUUGAGUUUGCCUGGAAGAAGUAGGUCAUGGCUGAAAGGGGCUUAGAGUAUAUUUUGUAACAUGCUGAAUGCUGGUGAUGAAACUCAUGUGACUCCUAAAAAUGUUUUGGAGACUGUGAGCCUUAUAGAAGACAAAAAUGAAGACUCAGGCCUUUGGAUCAGAGUAGUCUCCUUCGUGGCGGCUGGAGAAGAGGACAGAGACGCCCAUGGCUUGUCCCUCGCUGUCAGGACUGGGCAUUCCUCACUGGAUGGUUCCUGCAGCACACUUGUACAGAGCUUGUGCCUGUUGCUGCUGCCCUCCGGAGUACCACCUGAGGAUCGAGCCAGCAGAAGAUAUCUAAGGAAGUGGGCUCCUGACUAGCCUGACAUCUCAGAGUUCCUGAGGCGCAUAUGCAGAGUGUUUAUCAUGGUGUCCAGUUUCCCUGACCACAGGCUGGCCAGAUUACUCUACCCACGAAGGUCAUGAUUGGAUGAAAGGUGAGCAAGUGGGACAAACAGAUUCUUUUCUAAAUUUUGAGGUAAGCUUCUUAUUAAUGAAAGGUUCUUUCUCUUGUCUGACGUUGGGAGCUGUAAUAAUAGUAUAAACCACACCCAUUUGUGGCCAUUGUCUUCAACACCUGGAGAAGCCUUCUUUAUUCUGGGAGAAUGAAGCCAACAAGCAAAUAAAAGCAGACUCCAGAGAUAGAGAAAGGAUACAAUUACAUUGGUUGAACACUUGUAUUUUCUUGGAACUGGACUUCACAACUGUGUGAGUAUCGAUGUUUGAAUAAAGUUUCUGUUACUUACAACCAAAGAGGCCUACCUAUGCAUCUUGCCUUUUUAUUCAAUCUGACAAUCUCUGCUUUUAAUUGCAGUAUUUAAUUUACAUUUAAUGUAAUUAUUGAUAUGACUGAGUUUAAAUCUACUGUGUUAUUUAUUUUCCUAUUUCCUA
rnacentral:lncRNA from 10 species